rnacentral:rRNA from 1 species
AAUNNGNAAAGCCCUUUUGAGCUAACCCUAUGACCGCCGCUGCUGGCCGCCGAUUUGAAAGAGCUAUUCCUAUUGCCGCGCGAAAGUGCUUUACCAUUUUUUAGGGCUUCAUGCCACACCCGGUGGGGCUGGAUUAGGCAUUGGUGCAUUGUGCAAUAUUCCCCACUGCUGCCUACCGCCAGAGUGUGGGCCGAGUCUCAUAUACCAGGUGGCGGAUCAUCCCUUGAGACCACCUUCCCAUAGCAACCUUGUUGAGCCUCUACCUCACCAACUAGCUAAACAGACAUUUGCUCAUUCUGUCGCGCGAGGCCUUACGGUCCCCCGCUUUUACCCUCAGGGAAUAUGCGGGAUUAGUGCAAGUUUGUACACAUUAUCCCCCACAUAAAGGUAGAUUACGAUGUAUUCCUUACCCGUACGCCGCUCGCACCCACAGAAUUGGUCUGCUUGUGCUGCGCUUCGAAUUGCAUGUGUUAAGCCGCCCCC